GACGAACGCUGGCGGCGUGCUUAACACAUGCAAGUCGAACGGAAAGGCCCUGCUUUUGUGGGGUGCUCGAGUGGCGAACGGGUGAGUAACACGUGAGUAACCUGCCCUUGACUUUGGGAUAACUUCAGGAAACUGGGGCUAAUACCGGAUAGGAGCUCCUGCUGCAUGGUGGGGGUUGGAAAGUUUCGGCGGUUGGGGAUGGACUCGCGGCUUAUCAGCUUGUUGGUGGGGUAGUGGCUUACCAAGGCUUUGACGGGUAGCCGGCCUGAGAGGGUGACCGGCCACAAUGGGACUGAGGUACGGCCCAGACUCCUAAGGGAGGCAGCAGUGGGGAAUAUUGCACAAUGGGCGGAAGCCUGAUGCAGCAACGCCGCGUGCGGGAUGACGGCCUUCGGGUUGUAAACCGCUUUCGCCUGUGACGAAGCGUGAGUGACGGUAAUGGGUAAAGAAGCACCGGCUAACUACGUG
rnacentral:rRNA from 1 species